UUCUAUUUGCGACGCACAUAGCUCUGGCGCUGUGCAGUUGCGUUGAAUAUCCAGAUAUUCUAAAAUAUCUCGGAUGAAUAUCCACCUGAAAUACAUAGACUGUUAUCAACCGCCAGCGCCAUGGUCAAGCAACGAGAAAAAUAAUCUACAUCGUUCAUCGGCAAAUAUGGGACCACCCAAUAGGUUUGUAAAUAAUUCGCCAGUAUUCGGUGUAAAUUUCGCCAGUAUUCGGAAUCAAUACAAUUUCUUAUUUUAUACUAUGAUGUAAAGUAAACCCUAAAACAGCUCAAAUAAAAAUUUUACGUGUGGGUGAUCUUUUUACCACACCGUUCUAUAAAACGAAAAAAUA